CUGGCGGCGUGCCUAAUACAUGCAAGUAGAACGCUGAAGACUUUAGCUUGCUAAAGUUGGAAGAGUUGCGAACGGGUGAGUAACGCGUAGGUAACCUGCCUACUAGCGGGGGAUAACUAUUGGAAACGAUAGCUAAUACCGCAUAACAGCAUUUAACACAUGUUAGAUGCUUGAAAGGAGCAAUUGCUUCACUAGUAGAUGGACCUGCGUUGUAUUAGCUAGUUGGUGAGGUAACGGCUCACCAAGGCGACGAUACAUAGCCGACCUGAGAGGGUGAUCGGCCACACUGGGACUGAGACACGGCCCAGACUCCUACGGGAGGCAGCAGUAGGGAAUCUUCGGCAAUGGGGGCAACCCUGACCGAGCAACGCCGCGUGAGUGAAGAAGGUUUUCGGAUCGUAAAGCUCUGUUGUAAGAGAAGAACGUGUGUGAGAGUGGAAAGUUCACACAGUGACGGUAACUUACCAGAAAGGGACGGCUAAUUACGUGCCAGCCGCAGC
rnacentral:rRNA from 1 species